rnacentral:rRNA from 1 species
CAGCCGCCGCGGGAAUACGAAGGGGGCUAGCGUUGUUCGGAAUUACUGGGCGUAAAGGGCGCGUAGGCGGCCAUUCAAGUUAGACGUGAAAGCCCUGGGCUCAACCUAGGAAUUGCAUUUGAUACUGUUUGGCUUGAGUUCGGGAGAGGUGAGUGGAAUUCCCAGUGUAGAGGUGAAAUUCGUAGAUAUUGGGAAGAACACCAACGGCGAAAGCACUCUGCUGGGCCGACACUGACACUGGGAGACGAAAGCUAGGGGAGCAAAUGGGAUUAGAUACCCCCGUAGUCCCUGUCUCUUAUAC